rnacentral:rRNA from 1 species
UACGGAGGGUGCAAGCGUUAUCCGGAAUCACUGGUAUAAAGGUGCGUAGGCGGCUUGUUAAGUCAGGAGUGAAAGGCCAUAGCUUAACUAUGGGAUUGCUUUGAUACUGGCGAGCUUGGAUUAGGACGAGGUUGGCGGAAUGUGACAAGUAGCGGUGAAAUGCAUAGAUAUGUCAUAGAAUACCGAUUGCGAAGGCAGCUGACUAGACCUAUAUUGACGCUGAGGCACGAAAGCGUGGGAGCGAACAGG